AGUAGUGAAGUAAAAAAAUUACACUUAGUUUCGACCUAAGAAUAGAGAUUAUUCUCCUUACUU
rnacentral:tRNA from 1 species